rnacentral:rRNA from 1 species
UACAGAGGUCUCAAGCGUUGUUCGGAUUCAUUGGGCGUAAAGGGUGUGUAGGUGGCGCCGUAAGUCGGGUGUGAAAUUUCGGAGCUUAACUCCGAAACUGCAUUCGAUACUGCGGUGCUUGAGGACUGGAGAGGAGACUGGAAUUCAUGGUGUAGCAGUGAAAUGCGUAGAGAUCAGGAGGAAGACCAGUGGCGAAGGCGGGUCUCUGGACAGUUCCUGACACUGAGACACGAAGGCCAGGGAGCAAACGGG